GGUUUGUGGCUCAGAGAUAGAGCCCUCACUUAGCAAGUGUGAGGUUCUGGGUUCGAUCCUCAGCACCA
rnacentral:tRNA from 1 species